rnacentral:rRNA from 1 species
AUACGUAGGGGGCGAGCGUUGUCCGGAAUGAUUGGGCGUAAAGGGCGCGUAGGCGGCCGCUUAAGUCUGGAGUGAAAGUCCUGUUUUCAAGAUGGGAAUUGCUUUGGAUACUGGGGGGCUUGAGUGCAGGAGAGGUUAUCGGAAUUCCCGGUGUAGCGGUGAAAUGCGUAGAGAUCGGGAGGAACACCAGUGGCGAAGGCGGGUAACUGGACUGCAACUGACGCUGAGGCGCGAAAGUGUGGGGAGCAAACAGGAUUAGAUACCCUGGUAGUCCACACUGUAAACGAUGAAUGCUAGGUGUAAGAGGUAUCGACCCCAUUUGUUCCGGAGUCAACACAAUAAGCAUUCCGCCUGGGGAGUACGGCCGCAAGGUUGAAACUCAAAUGAAUUGACGGGG